GCUUGGGUGAUUGCUAGUGGCCUAGGGUGCAGGCUUCAAACCUGUUGUUGUUUGCUGACAGAGUGGUUCAAUUCCACCUUCCAGGUG